GAUGAACGCUGGCGGCGUGCCUAAUACAUGCAAGUCGAGCGAACGGACGAGAAGCUUGCUUUUCUGAUGUUAGCGGCGGACGGGUGAGUAACACGUGGAUAACCUACCUAUAAGACUGGGAUAACUUCGGGAAACCGGAGCUAAUACCGGAUAAUAUUUUGAACCGCAUGGUUCAAAAGUGAAAGACGGUCUUGCUGUCACUUAUAGAUGGAUCCGCGCUGCAUUAGCUAGUUGGUAAGGUAACGGCUUACCAAGGCAACGAUGCAUAGCCGACCUGAGAGGGGGGGCGGCCAGCAUGGAGCGUGGCCCGGGACGAAGCCACUGCGGGAGGCGCCAGUGGGGAGGCGUGGGCACUGGUUGUAGGCUUGACGGAGUAUGUUCGGAGGGAUGAUGAUGGUUUUCAGAUCCUAAAACUAUUUUAAAAGUACAAAACAAAUGUGCAAGGACCUGUGAACAUCUUGACGGUACGUAAACAGAAAGCAACGCCUAACUUCGUG
rnacentral:rRNA from 1 species